UACGAGGAGGGCAUAGCUGUUGGUCGAAUUACUGGGCGUAAAGCGCACGUAGGCGGCUUUACAAGUCAGAGGUGAAAGCCCGGGGCUCAACUCCGGAACUGCCUUUGAGACUGUAUCGCUUGAACACGGGAGAGGUGAGUGGAAUUCCGAGUGUAGAGGUGAAAUUCGUAGAUAUUCGGAAGAACACCAGUGGCGAAGGCGGCUCACUGGACCGUUGUUGACGCUGAGGUGCGAAAGCGUGGGGGAG
rnacentral:rRNA from 1 species